GAGCGGAAGACGGAACAAGGAAACAGCUUUCCUUGUCCGCUGUCGUUACCUUAGACGGCUUGCCGUUUCCCGUCACCGCCGUCACGUUUCCUUCGUCUCGGAGAAGCCAUCCUUCCACCGCGGACGCCCUCGCCCUCCCCUUUAUAUGGCACUCGAUAUUUCCGCGACGCUUCUCAUCCCUCAAACCCCGUUGUAACGACAUUAACAAAUAGAUUGGCGCCAUUAAAGAGGGGAAGAGAACGAGAUCCGCAUCAGAUGCUUUGAGGAGGAAGACGAGGGCGAACAAGGGUUGGCACAUCAGAUCUUCUAUGGCGGAGACGGCCCCGACGACGACGAGCGAGCACGAGAAGAGGGGGAAGAAGGACGGUGGCCUCCUCCUGGGGCGCUUCGAGGUGGGCAAGCUCCUCGGCGCCGGAACCUUCGCGAAGGUCUACGUCGCUCGCGACGUGAACACCAAUGAGCUCGUCGCCAUCAAGGCCCUCGACAAGGAGAUGAUCCUCAAGGGUGGCCUCGUUGCUCACAUCAAGCGCGAGAUCGCCAUCCUCCGCCGCGUCCGCCACCCCUAUGUCGUCCAGCUCUUCGAGGUCAUGGCCACCAGGAGCAAGAUCUAUUUCGUGAUGGAGUACGUCCGCGGCGGCGAGCUCUUCUCCCGCGUCUCCAAGGGCCGCCUACUAGAGGAAACCGCCCGCCGAUACUUCCAGCAGCUGAUCUCGGCCGUCGCUUUCUGCCACGCCCGUGGCGUCUUCCACCGAGACCUCAAGCCGGAGAACCUCCUCGUCGAUGAGUACGGUGAUCUCAAGGUCUCCGACUUCGGACUGUCUGCGGUGGCCGAACAGAUGCGCGGCGACGGGCUCUUCCACACCUUCUGUGGCACGCCGGCUUACGUCGCGCCCGAGGUGCUCUCCCGCAGGGGUUACGACGGCGCCAAGGUCGACGUCUGGUCCUGUGGCGUCAUCCUCUUCGUGCUCAUGGCGGGUUAUCUCCCCUUCCACGACCGCAGCAUCGUGGCCAUGUACCGGAAGAUCUACAAAGGCACCUUCCGGUGCCCCCGGUGGUUCUCGCAGGACCUCGUCCACCUCCUCCGCCGCCUCCUCGAUGUCAAUCCCCAAACCAGAAUCACCAUCCCGGAGAUCAUGGAGAAUCCCUGGUUCAAGAAAGGGUUCCGGCAUGUCCGAUUCUAUAUCGAAGACAACCAAUUACAUAGCUUCGAUGAUCCAGCAGAUGACGAAGUGCAGAGUGAUGAACCUAAGCCGGAUGAGACAUACGAAUCAGGAUCAGAAUCGGACUGCUCGGUCGCUUCCUGCCCGGCAACAUUCUCCGAUGAGCAGCUCCAGACACUGCCAAGGCCACCGAGCCUUAACGCAUUCGAUAUCAUAUCUUUCUCCAGGGGCUUUGACCUCUCCGGAUUGUUUGAAGAAACAGGGGAGAUGACCAGGUUCCUGUCCAAGGAGCCCGUUUCGGACAUCGUAUCGAAAUUGGAGGAGAUUGCAAAGGUCGUGAGCUUCAAGGUUAGGAGGAAGGAUUGCCGGAUCAGCUUGGAAGGAACGAGAGAGGGUGAGAAGGGCCCAUUGACCAUCGGUGUGGACAUAUACGAGCUCACACCUUCAAUGGUUGUGGUCGAGGUAAAGAAAAAGGCUGGGGAUGGAGAAGAGUAUGAAGAGUUCUGCAACAAGGAGCUCAAGCCCGGGUUAAAACACCUUGUUUACGAGUCGCCUCCCGUUCUCAAAACUAACACCAGCAUGUAAUAAUAAAAAAGGUAAAAGGAAAAGUGGAGGGUGGGGCAGAUAAAACUUCAAAGCUUCGGCAGUAGUUCUCUCAAGUGUAAAUUGCAGUGAUGAGUAAGUCAGACAGCUUUGAAAUAUCAUAGCUGGGAACAAUGAGACUGUACAGAUGAGCACUACAAGACUACAAAUAGAGAUGUUCUUUGAUCCCAAAACGUUGAUUGCUUCAUGGGCCGUUGAAAUUGGAGCAGAGGAAAGUUCCUCCAGAUGUUCAGUAUUUGCUUGGUCAUCAAUAAGGUGCCCCGAACAUUUGUGCUGCAAUCUGGUUCAGACCAUCAAUCCUUCCUGGUUCUACCUCUCCAUGAUCAAGUACUUCCAGGCUUUGUGGAAGCAUUCUCUUAAUGAUGUGAUCUCUAAUUUUUGUAGUGUGUUCAUUUGGCUUACCUUGAAUCAUGCCGUGUGCCACGAAGGAAUUCGACCUUGCUGGAACCAGCAAGGUUUUUCACCAUUGUUACUUGCAAGUUGUUCUCACCGUGAAAUGACGUUAUUCGUUCGUUAUUAGGUGAUUAGUAGAUCUGCUGAGACUUGCAUGUACUUGUUGGGAACUUGGAAGUCGUAUCUCCCCAGUAGUUUGUUGUGAUGUACAUCCUUAAUCAAAAUAUGGUCCUUGUGUAAAUAUAUAUUGUACAGAAAAGAGAGAGAGUUCCAGAAUGAACCAAUAGUUUUUUUGUUUUUGGCAAAGACCAGUAGUGUAUGCCCGUAUGUGUUCAUUGCUC